UACGUAGGGGGCAAGCGUUGUCCGGAAUUAUUGGGCGUAAAGAGCGUGUAGGCGGUCCGGUAAGUCAGCUGUGAAAGUCAAGGGCUCAACCCUUGAAAGCCGGUUGAUACUGUCGGGCUAGAGUCCGGAAGAGGCGAGUGGAAUUCCCGGUGUAGCGGUGAAAUGCGCAGAUAUCGGGAGGAACAUCUGUGGCGAAGGCGACACCCUGGACCAGCACUGACACUGAGGCACGAAAGCGUGGGGAGCAAACAGG
rnacentral:rRNA from 1 species